rnacentral:rRNA from 1 species
AACGAACGCUGGCGGCAUGCCUAACACAUGCAAGUCUUACGAGACCUUCUGGUUUCGUGGCGUACGGGUGCGUAACGCGUGGGAACCUGCCCUUAGGUUCGGAAUAACUCCCCGAAAGGGGUGCUAAUACCGGUUAAUGUCUUCGGACCAAAGAUUUAUCGCCUUUGACUGGGCCCGCGUUGGAUUAGCUAGUUGGUAGCGUAAAAGCCUACCAAGUCGACGAUCCAUAGCUGGUCUGAGAGGAUGAUCAGCAACACUGGGACUGAGACACGGCCCAGACUCCUACGGGAGGCAGUAGUGGGGAAUAGUGGACAAUGGGAGAAAGGCUGAACCAGCAAUGCCGCGUGAGUGAAGAAGGCCUGAGGGUUGUAAAGCUCUUUUAGCCGGGAUGAUAAUGACAGUACCGGGAGAAUAAGCGACGGCUAACUCCGUG